CCUACGGAUGGCUGCAGUGGGGAAUAUUGGACAAUGGGGGGAACCCUGAUCCAGCCAUGCCGCGUGUGUGAAGAAGGCCCUCGGGUUGUAAAGCACUUUCAGUGAGGAAGAACGCCUGGUGGUUAAUACCCAUCAGGAAAGACAUCACUCACAGAAGAAGCACCGGCUAACUCCGUGCCAGCAGCCGCGGUAAUACGGAGGGUGCGAGCGUUAAUCGGAAUUACUGGGCGUAAAGCGCGCGUAGGUGGCUUGAUAAGCCGGUUGUGAAAGCCCCGGGCUCAACCUGGGAACGGCAUCCGGAACUGUCAAGCUAGAGUGCAGGAGAGGAAGGUAGAAUUCCCGGUGUAGCGGUGAAAUGCGUAGAGAUCGGGAGGAAUACCAGUGGCGAAGGCGGCCUUCUGGACUGACACUGACACUGAGGUGCGAAAGCGUGGGUAGCAAACAGGAUUAGAUACCCCAGUAGUC
rnacentral:rRNA from 1 species